AAUCAACGCUGGCGGCGUGCCUCAGACAUGCAAGUCGAACGCGAAAUUUCCCUUCGGGGAGAAAGUAGAGUGGCGCACGGGUGAGUAACACGUAGGUAAUUUGCCUUUGGGUGGGGAAUAACUCAGGGAAACUUGAGCUAAUACCGCAUAAUGCAGCGGCUCGACAUCGAGACAGUUGUUAAAGCGGGGGAGUUGGAGCAAUCCGACCUCGCGCCUAAAGAGAAGCCUGCGGCAGAUUAGCUAGUUGGUAAGGUAAUGGCUUACCAAGGCGACGAUCUGUAACCGGCCUGAGAGGGCGGUCGGUCACACUGACACUGACAUACGGUCAGACUCCUACGGGAGGCAGCAGUCGGG
rnacentral:rRNA from 1 species